rnacentral:rRNA from 1 species
UAGCAUAAUCAUUAGUUCUUUAAUUGAGAACUCGUAUGAAUGGUCGGACAAGAGAAAAGCUGUCUCUAAUAUUAAAAUUGAAAUUGACUUUUAAGUGAAAAGGCUUAAAUAUAUCAGGGGGACGAUAAGACCCUAUAAAGCUUUAUAUGUUGGUAUAAUUUAAUUUAAUUGAAAAUAUAAAAAUUUAUUUAAAUAGACAUAUUUAGUUGGGGCGACUAAGGUAUAAUUAUUAGUAACUGAUUGAAGCUAAAUCAAUGAUGGUUGAUUUACUUAUAAUUGAUCCUUAUUAAAGAUUAAAGAUUAAGUUACUUUAGGGAUAACAGCGUAAUUUGUUCUGAGAGUCCAUAUCGAAGAAAAAGUUUGCGACCUC